UUCUGCAAAAGUUGGCUUUCUUAGAGAGUUAAGCGGCGCCAAGGAGAGAUUAAAGAUACUGAAAGCCGAUUUGUUGGUGGAAGGAAGUUUCGAUGAGUCAAUCCAAGGCGUUGAUGGCGUCUUCCACACUGCAUCACCAGUUCUCUUUCCUUAUGAUGAUAACAUUCAGGCAACUUUGAUCGAUCCAUGUAUUAAGGGAACCAUGAAUGUGCUGACCUCCUGCGCCAAAGCUAGUAGCGUGAAACGAGUUGUGCUGACCUCUUCCUGCUCUUCAAUAAGAUAUCGAUAUGAUGUCCAACAAUUUUGCCCUCUCAACGAGUCGCACUGGAGCGAUCCUGAGUACUGCAAAUGCUACAACCUCUGGUACGCUUACGCAAAGACUAUAGGGGAGAAAGAGGCAUGGAGAAUAGCUAAGGAAAGAGGGAUUGAUCUAGUGGUGGUGAACCCCUCUUUUGUUGUUGGUCCAUUGCUUGCCCCACAACCCACAAGUAGCCUGCUUCUUAUACUUUCCAUUGUUAAAGGUUUGCGAGGCGAAUAUCCAAACACAACUGUGGGUUUUGUGCACAUAAAUGAUGUGAUUGCUGCUCAUAUUUUAGCAAUGGAGGAUAGCAGAGCAUCAGGCAGGCUAGUUUGUUCAAGCUCAGUAGCUCACUGGUCAGAGAUAAUUGAGAUGCUGAGGGCCAAAUAUCCCUCUUAUCCAUACGAGAACGAGUGUAGCAGCCAGGAGGGAGACAACAACCCACAUAGCAUGGAUACCACAAAGAUUGCUCAAUUGGGAUUUCCUCCUUUCAAAACAUUACAACAAAUGUUUGAUGAAUGCAUCAAGAGUUUCCAAGACAAGGGGUUUCUUUAAAACCCACGAUUAUGCCUGAAGCUUCAACGUGUAUGCUCCUUGCUGUUGAAAAAUAAUAACAAUAAAUAAUGUGUGCUCCUUUUGGGCCGUGGGUUGUGGAAUUGGGUCAUAAGAUUUGCUAAUGUAACAAAAAUAAUCAUCUUUUUGGGCUGUGGGUGAUUCAAUUGGGCCUACGUCCUUGAUGAAUGGCAUUUUUGUCCAUUUGGGCAAAUGAAAACCAAUAUAUACAUGUUUUAUGCAA
rnacentral:misc_RNA from 1 species